rnacentral:rRNA from 1 species
ACGAACGCUGGCGGCGUGCUUCACACAUGCCAGUCGCACGGAAAGGCCCUGCUUGCAGGGUGCUCGAGUGGCGAACGGGUGAGUAACACGUGGGUGAUCUGCCCCUUACUUUGGGAUAAGCCUGGGAAACUGGGUCUAAUACUGGAUAGGACCAUGCUGUAGGUGGUGUGGUGGAAAGAUUAGUUUCGGUAAGGGAUGAGCUCGCGGCCUAUCAGCUUGUUGGUGGGGUAAUGGCCUACCAAGGCGUCGACGGGUAGCCGGCCUGAGAGGGUGGACGGCCACAUUGGGACUGAGAUACGGCCCAGACUCCUACGGGAGGCAGCAGUGGGGAAUAUUGCACAAUGGGCGCAAGCCUGAUGCAGCGACGCCGCGUGGGGGAUGACGGCCUUCGGGUUGUAAACUCCUUUCAGCCAUGACGAAGCCCUUGUGGUGACGGUAGUGGUAGAAGAAGCACCGGCUAACUACGUG